AACGGAGCUUCGGCUUCGGGAUCAGUGGCGAACGGGUGCGUAACACGUGGGCAACCUGCCCUUCACUCUGGGAUAACCCCGGGAAACCGGAGCUAAUACCGGAUACUCCGCUCCCACCGCAUGGCGGGAUCGGGAAAGGUCCGCCGGUGAGGGAUGGGCCCGCGGCCUAUCAGCUUGUUGGUGAGGUAACGGCUCACCAAGGCGACGACGGGUAGCUGGUCUGAGAGGACGACCAGCCACACUGGGACUGAGAUACGGCCCAGACUCCUACGGGAGGCAGCAGUGGGGAAUCUUGCACAAUGGGCGAAAGCCUGAUGCAGCGACGCCGCGUGAGGGAUGAAGGCCUUCGGG
rnacentral:rRNA from 1 species